UACGAAGGGGGCAAGCGUUGUUCGGAAUUACUGGGCGUAAAGGGCGCGUAGGCGGCUUAUCAAGUCAGGCGUGAAAUUCCCGGGCUCAACCUGGGGGCUGCGCUUGAUACUGAUGAGCUUGAAUGCGGGAGAGGAUAGUGGAAUUCCCAGUGUAGAGGUGAAAUGCGUAGAGAUCGGGAGGAACAUCUGUGGCGAAGGCGACUACCUGGACCAGCACUGACACUGAGGCACGAAAGCGUGGGGAGCAAACAGG
rnacentral:rRNA from 1 species